GCCUAUCAAAGCAAGGAUGGCUUCAUUAUUGACUUAUAUUGGGCCGUAUGUUCUAUGUUCUUUAUGGUGUUGACGGUUGGAGUAGAAAUCAAAAUAGAAUUUCCAAUGAUAUACGGAGCAUACCUUUUCAAGCUGCUUAAUUGCAGAUUUUCAUUUGUUGUCGAUGAAAUUAAUACUCUAUGUAAAAAUUAUGGCAUAGAUUUGGAUGAACAAAAAUUAGAUUGUCUUUGCAACGAACUAGCAAAACUUGGAAGAAUUCAUAAAACUCAAUUGGUGUAUCACAAAUUUAUUACAUGUUCACAUUUCUUGUCCUUUGGAGUUCUUCUUUUGAAGAUGGAAAUUUUCAAGUAGCUUGUGCUUUUGGAUCAUUUUUUACAACGUUUAUAAACUUAUUUUGGAUGGUACAUGUUUGUUCGGAAACAAUUGACUCAUGUAAUGAACCGGGAGAAAUCUUAACAAAUCUUUCAGCAGACAAUUUGCUAAAUAAAGAAUUGGAAAUAAGCAUUCAAAUAGUUACAUUCCAGUUUUUGCAAGAAAAAAUGCAACUACCAAUCUAUGGGUUGUUUGAUUUAGAUUGGAGUACUGGAUUUCUUAUUACCGAAGUUGCUGUUUCACAAUUGAUAAUACUAUUGCAGUUUGAUUAUAUGAAUUUUGAAUUUUAGUUAAGCUAGUUUAUUUAUAAACACAUAAAUAAAUGUCUUAG